GCACAAGCGGUGGAGCAUGUGGUUCAAUUCGACGCAACGCGAAGAACCUUACCUGGGCUCGAAGCGCAGUGGACCGGGGUAGAAAUAUCCCUUUCUCGCAAGAGACUGCUGCGGAGGUGCUGCAUGGCUGUCGUCAGCUCGUGUCGUGAGAUGUUGGGUUAAGUCCCGCAACGAGCGCAACCCUCGCCCUUAGUUGCCAUCAUUUAGUUGGGCACUCUAAGGGGACUGCCGGUGAUAAGCCGCGAGGAAGGUGGGGAUGACGUCAAGUCCUCAUGGCCCUUACAGGCUGGGCUACACACGUGCUACAAUGGCGGUGACAGUGGGACGCAAUGGAGAAAUCCUGCGCAAAUCUCAAAAAGCCGUCUCAGUUCGGAUUGUGCUCUGCAACUCGAGCACAUGAAGUUGGAAUCGCUAGUAAUCGCAGAUCAGCACGCUGCGGUGAAUACGUUCCCGGGC
rnacentral:rRNA from 1 species